GAUGAACGCUGGCGGCGUGCCUAAUACAUGCAAGUCGAGCGAACAGACGAGGAGCUUGCUCCUCUGACGUUAGCGGCGGACGGGUGAGUAACACGUGGAUAACCUACCUAUAAGACUGGGAUAACUUCGGGAAACCGGAGCUAAUACCGGAUAAUAUAUUGAACCGCAUGGUUCAAUAGUGAAAGACGGUUUUGCUGUCACUUAUAGAUGGAUCCGCGCCGCAUUAGCUAGUUGGUAAGGUAACGGCUUAUCAAGGCGACGAUGCGUAGCCGACCUGAGAGAGUGAUCGGCCACACUGGAACUGAGACACGGUCCAGACUCCUACGGGAGGCAGCAGUAGGGAAUCGGCCGCAAUGGGCGAAAGCCUGACGGAGCAACGCCGCGUGAGUGAUGAAGGUCUUCGGAUCGUAAAACUCUGUUAUUAGGGAAGAACAAAUGUGUAAGUAACUAUGCACGUCUUGACGGUACCUAAUCAGAAAGCCACGGCUAACUACGUG
rnacentral:rRNA from 1 species